rnacentral:rRNA from 1 species
AUUGAACGCUGGCGGCAUGCUUUACACAUGCAAGUCGAACGGUAACAGGUUAAGCUGACGAGUGGCGAACGGGUGAGUAAUGCAUCGGAACGUGCCCGAUCGUGGGGGAUAACGCAGCGAAAGCUGCGCUAAUACCGCAUACGAUCUGAGGAUGAAAGCGGGGGACCAUAAGGCCUCGCGCGAUCGGAGCGGCCGAUGUCAGAUUAGGUAGUUGGUGGGGUAAAGGCUCACCAAGCCAACGAUCUGUAGCUGGUCUGAGAGGACGACCAGCCACACUGGGACUGAGACACGGCCCAGACUCCUACGGGAGGCAGCAGUGGGGAAUUUUGGACAAUGGGCGAAAGCCUGAUCCAGCAAUGCCGCGUGCAGGAAGAAGGCCUUCGGGUUGUAAACUGCUUUUGUACGGAGCGAAAAGGCUCUCUCUAAUACAGGGGGCUCAUGACGGUACCGUAAGAAUAAGCACCGGCUAACUACGUGCCAGCCGCCGCGGUAAUAC